GCGCAGCAAGCGAGAAUCUUCCACAAUGGGGGAAACCCUGAUGGAGCGACGCCGCGUGCGGGAUGAAGGCCCUAUGGGUUGUAAACCGCUGUUCAGUGGAAAGAACAUCCUCCGGCUGAAUAGGUCGGAGGCCUGACGUUACCACUGCAGAAAGUCCCGGCCAACUCCGUGCCAGCAGCCGCGGUAAUACGGGGGGGACGAGCGUUGUCCGGAAUCAUUGGGCGUAAAGGGCGCGUAGGCGGCGAGGAAAGUCGAAUGUGAAAUCUUGCGGCUC
rnacentral:rRNA from 1 species